rnacentral:rRNA from 1 species
GUGCCAGCCGCCGCGGUAAUACCGGCAGCCCGAGUGACGGCCGAUCUUAUUGGGCCUAAAGCGUCCGUAGCUGGCCUCGCAAGUCCGUCGGGAAAUCCAGUAGCCCAACUACUGGGCGUCCGGCGGAAACUACACAGCUUGGGACCGGAAGGCUCGAAGGGUACGUUCGGGGUAGGAGUGAAAUCCCAUAAUCCCGCACGGACCACCGAUGGCGAAAGCACUUCGAGAAAACGGAUCCGACAGUGAGGGACGAAAGCCAGGGUCUCCAACCGGAUUAGAAACCCGUGUAGUCC